rfam:Rattus norvegicus chromosome 1, whole genome shotgun sequence.
GGAGAGAUGGCUCAGUGGUUAAGAGCACUGACUGCUCUUCCAGAGGUCCUGAGUUCAAUUCCCAGCCACUACA